UUUUUUUUCACCCUGCUUUAAAAGGCCUCGGGGCCCUUCCCAACUGGGUGCCAGCCAACGGUGGCUGCCUGGGAGACUCCAUCUUAAGUCCCUGUGUGUCUGCUGUGUGUUACUGAGUGCCUAGGCCAUGGUAUUCAUCUGUACCGUGACCUGAAGAGGCAGAGGCCAUCGUUGUUGGUCCAGUCUCCACCUGGGGAAACUGAGAUUGCAUAGUUGAGUGAGGGCGGGGCCUGGGUCUGACCCCAAGGACUUGGUUUUGUGUUCAGGUGUCUCUGUGGUGAGUAGCAGGGCUUCAUCCAGUGCCCCUGUCCCCACCGAGGGGACUAUGGGAGCCAUGGAAGGUGUGUGAGCAGCAGGUGAGACUGGAGCCAGCUGAAAACUGGGGGACUGGAUAGGCACACACAGCCCAGGCAUCUGGGUAAUGUACAAUGCUUAACCAUUUAAGACAAUCAGGAAGCAACAGCCAUGCAUUUGGGAAAUGAAUUUCAGUAUUGUGUGGCUCAGUCUCCAGACCUAACUUUCCCUUUGGUACAGACGCGGUGGCACUUGCCUGUAAUCACAACACUUUGGGAGGCCGAGGCAGGAGGAUCACUCGAGCCCAGAAGUUAAGACUAGCGUGAGCAACAAAGAAAAAGCAAUAUAUAGAAAGUGCUUAUCUUAGCACUUUGUACAUUACAGCUCCCCGUCUGAGUUUGCCCUUGUCAUUUGAAAACUAGAUGGACUUCCUGGCAGGCACCUGUAAUCCCAGCUACUUGGGAGGCUGAGGCAGCAGAAUUGCUUGAACCCGGGAGGCGGAGGUUGCAGCGAGCUGAGAUCGCGCCAUUGCACUCCAGCCUGGAUGACAGAGCAAGACUUGUGAUACCCUACCUUGUUUUAACCUGAGUGACUCUCUCCUAGCAGAGAGCCGGACAGACUCCAUUUUAGUUUCUUCACUUGUAACCCCUUUCAACUCCCUCCAGGCAUAGCUAGUGUAAAACUGACUCAAAGCACGUCCAGGAAUGCACCUGCUGAUAAGAUACUGAGGCAAGCUGCACAGCAGCUCCUGGGGACGUGCUUGGCGGAUGGCACCCAAAACCCCUACAUUUAUCUCUUUGUGAUAGUUUAAGCCCCUGCACCUGGAACUGUUUAUUUUUUGUAACUGCAUUUGUAACCAAUUCAUUUUUUAACUUUUUGCCAGUUCUGCUUCUGUAAAAAUUGCUUCAGCUAAAAUCCCCCUCCCCUAUUUAGACCACAGUAUAAAAACAAAACUAGCCCCUUCCUCGGGGCCAAGAGAAUUUGGAGCGUUAGCUGCCUCUCGGUCACCAGCUCAUAAAGGACUCUUUAAUUUG